CCGUGUUUUUGAGCAAAUAGAUGUUGUUUGAACACAUAAACAAUUUGUUUAAUUCCUGAAUGAAUCAGCCUUUUGAACUAAUGGAUUGAAUUAAUGGCUCAGUCAUUACAAUAGUGAGUACCACAACCAUUUAAACUAAUUCUUAUCUGGCGGCUGUGAGCUCCACAUCUCUGUGCUGCAGGUCAGGGCUCAUUACAGCGUGGUGUCCAGUUUGCCCUGUCCGGCCCUGGAUGAGCUGUGUAACGGAGGAGACUGUGUGGAUCAGCUCAGCUCCUCUCCUCUGACAGGGGCUUUACCUUCACCAGGCUGGUGUCUUCAUCAGUGGCAGAAAAACAUUCCUAAACACCACACGUCUGCUCUUCAGCUUGGAUCCGAUAGAGCCGUGCCACUAUAUUCAAGAGCAGAUCUGUCUGUCAGAGCCGACACUAACCGUGUUAACCAGCCUCCGUUUGUGGCUCUUCCUCCUCCAGUCAGGUUACAAGCUGCUUGUCCUCAGCAAAUCCCGGUGAAUGUGAUGGAUUUGGAUGGAGAUGAGAUUCGCUGUCGUUAUAACAAGACUGACCUUGGUGAAUUUCUG
rnacentral:lncRNA from 1 species